UACGUAGGGCGCAAGCGUUAUCCGGAAUUAUUGGGCGUAAAGAGCUCGUAGGCGGUUUGUCGCGUCUGCCGUGAAAGUCCGGGGCUCAACUCCGGAUCUGCGGUGGGUACGGGCAGACUAGAGUGAUGUAGGGGAGACUGGAAUUCCUGGUGUAGCGGUGGAAUGCGCAGAUAUCAGGAGGAACACCAAUAGCGAAGGCAGAUCUCUGGGCCGUAACUGACGCUGAGGAGCGAAAGCUGGGGAGCGAACAGG
rnacentral:rRNA from 1 species